ACUUGGCUGCACAGGGGUGAAGCUCAGGGACAAGUCUGGGCUGGAGACUCAGCGUGUGUUUGGCAACCGAAGCCACGGGAGUGACUACGAUAGGCCGGGGGAGCGUGAGUCUCUCGGCUGCCGAGAACAGAGAUGACACAUCUUCUCACCUUCGUUUUUUAUUUCCCUUAAGCGCCUGUCGUCAUCACACAAAACGCCCUACGUCGACGCUGCCAAAUAUUGCUUUUUUAUUCCUCACAGCUCCUCCCGUCUUUCCGAGACUGCGGACAGAGGGAGCUCAACGCCAUUCCCUGCCGGGGGCGGCCCUCGCCGCGGCGACGUCACGGAAGAGGCGGGAUACGGAGGCGGCCGCGGCGCGGGCUGCAGGACUGACCCCGGGCUGCGCGGCCCCACCCCGGGCGGUCCGCUCCGUUCCCGCCGGUCCCCGCAGCCGCCGUCUUAGGCCAGCUGGAGCAGGCCGCGCUCGGCCAGCAGGCUCUGGGUGCGGUUGUAGACAUCCUCCAAGGUGCCGGCGGCCCGGACCAGCGCGGCCCGCGCCUCCGCCUCGGUGGCUCCGGGACACGCCAGCUCCAGCAGGCGGCGGCGACCCGGGAAGGCGAGGAAGGCGAGGCGGGCGGUCUGUCGGACCAGCCAGGGGUGAUGCGGACCCAGGGCCGCACGGUAGGCGUCGCUGCACUGCACGCCCGCGUCCGGGCCUCCCAGCGCGCCGGUCGCCACCCGGUGGAGGCAGAGCUGGGACCAGCGCAGCGCGCGGUGCAGCAGGAGCAGCGUGCGAGAGCCCGAGCUCCGGGUCGGGUCCCGGGGGGCCGCCCCCGGCUGCUCCAGCAGUCCCGCCCUCCGCUCCCACGCCGCCAUGGCCACCAGCGACCAGUAGUGCUCCGCGUCCGGGCCGUGCACCCGAGCCUCCAGGUCUGUCACCUUGGUGAAGGCCUCCCUAGUGGCGAAGGCGAAGACGGAGCCGAGGGGAGUCAGGAACCUGCGGGCGAGACGAUUUGAGAGAAUGGAGAUGGAGCCGCCAAGGAGGCGGGGACCGGCUGGGGGGCGGGAGGCCACUCACUCGACGAGUGCCCUCCAUCCCGCCAGGUACGGCGACAGCCCCACAUCCCCUUCGGGUUUCAGACUGGCGUGGAACCGCCUCAUCAUGCGGCCCAGCAUCCCCCGAGGGCCCAGACACGGAGGCUGUUUCCUCUCCGGGGCCUCCAGGGUUCCCGACUCCUGCCGGACCUGGUGGGGAGACACGAUGGGAAGAGGUGGGAGCAGAUUCUGCCCUGAAGAAAUUGUUCCGAAGGUUUAGCUGGCGGCUCUUCUGCUGUGCGCUCAGCUUCCGACGGGAGAGGGUAGACCGGGGGAGGACCCGCCCUUUGCCGGACCCUCAGCCUGGCUCCACGUCCCCCUGUUCUGGUCCCUCCUGGAGCGCCCGCGCCCAAUCCUGCGCCUAGCGUACCUGGAAGGGCGCCGUUUCCCCUGGAACGCAGGGCUGCGCCCUGGGUCCGCAGCCCGAGCGGGCGCCUGGGUAGAGGAGAAGCGGAGCGGUGAGGGCUCGAGAAAGAGGCUUGAGUCGUGAGGGCCUGGAUUCCGGGCUUCCUCCCGGAGCAAGUGAGGGAAGGGGCAGCUCACCUAGGCUCCGAACACUGAGAUAAAGCAGCAGCAGCGCGAAGAUAGCGAGAGGAAUUGAGUGGCUGAACCAGUGCCGCAGGGCUGGGGGCCGCGCCGCCACUCCCAUGCCUGCUGCUGGGACCGCCGCCCCCUCACCAGCGCCUAGCCAGUCCGUGUCCCUCCGCCUCCAGGAGGGGACAGAAGCCCGUGGUGCCCUGAGGCGCAAAGGAUUAAUAAUUAACCUACUAAGGCCCCUUCCCCUGUGCCCUUCGCCCCAAAGGGCAGCUACCCUGGGUGCGAGGAACUGGGUGAAGGGAAUUUGGGGGAUUCGACAGCAGUGACAGAUCAGUGCAUUUCCCUUCCCUGUAGGGCCAGCUGUAGCAAGAGGCACUCUGAGUAUUGGGAAGAGAGGCAGGGCCCAGAACAGCUCCCCUACUGAGCAGUGGUGUGGGCCCUAAAUUCACUCUGGGCUUGAGUUCCCUCCACUGUAAAUUGAGGAUAAUAAUAGGUACUUUGCAAGCCUCAUGUGAGGAUUAAAUGAUAACGUAUGUGAAAACACUAAAUGGAAAAGCUGACCACAAUUGCCCUAUAAAUCUUAUUAAGUUCAAGCAUUGUCCGGCUCUGGGAUCCAGGGAACACCCACUUCUCUCUCGCUCUCUUUUUUUUUUUGUUUGUUUUUUGUUUUUUUGUUUUUUGAGACUUCGUCUCAAAACAAACAAACAAACAAACAAACAAAAAACAUACUUAGCCAGAUUUUCUCGCUUUUUGUUUUGCAAAUUAGGAGUCCAUCUGGUGGUCACAGGGGGAAAGGCAUUCCAGGAAAGGAUAUAAGGAUACAGAAAGCAAUGGAAGAAACAGCAUGAUCUUUUCUUAGGGGUUCUUAGUCUCCUGUCCCCAAACUUCUUAGAGUUAUUCCUGUUGGACCGGGCGCGGUGGCUCAUGCCUGUAAUCCCAGCACUUUGGGAGGCCGAGGCAGGCGGAUCACAAGGUCAAGAGAUAGAGACCAUCCUGGCCAACACGGUGAAACCCGGUCUCUACUAAAAAUACAAAAAUUAGCGGGGCGGCGUCUUGGCGCGCGCCUGUAGUCCCAGCUACUCGGGAGGCUGAGGCAGGAGAAUCGCUUGAACCCAGGAGGUGGAGGUAGCAGUGAGCCGAGAUCGCGCCACUGCGAUGCCGCCACUGGGCGACAGAGUGAGACUUCGACUCAAAAAAUAAAAAUAAAAAAGAAUU
rnacentral:lncRNA from 1 species